UCAAGCAAUUUCAAAAUCAUGUAACCUGUUGUGUGUUUAUGUGUGUGUAUGUGUGCAUGUGUUUGUGUUUGUGCGUGCGUGCGUCCGUGUGCGUGUGAGUGUGUGUGUGUGUGUGCAGGUGGAAUGUUAAGUGCAGGUUAAGGACAUGGGAGAGGACCUGGAGUGUGUGUCAGAUCAUGAGGACUCGACCACCAGAACAUAUUUGAAAAGAAGAGGGUGCAAGUUAAGGACAUGGGAUGGGACCUGAAAUGCGCCAACAAAAAGUCAGGGAGAAGAAGAGGGUGCAAGUUAAGGACAUGGGAUGGGACCUGAAGUGCGCCAACAGAAAGUCAGGAAAAGGUUUCAGGUUGAGCAGAUGGGAGAGUGUGUGUGUGUGCAAAUCCUGUUGACCAAUCAGGAGCUGCGGUCUCUGAUCCGGUUCUGGACACUCUGGAGCUGCAGGAGAACAUCUGGACGCCACAAAAGGUGAGUGUCAUGAUUGUGAUUGGCUGCUGAGCAAUGUGCUGUUGCUAAGAUCAAGAUGCUGUGCAACAUGGAGUUUAGCGGAGAGCAAACUGGACGUCAUGCACGAGUCCUUCAUAAGUGAUCCAAUCAGCAUCAGAUUCUGAGAACUGUGGGGCCCAGACUCCACCAACAGAAUGCCAGGAGCAAUGUGCCGUUGCUAAGAUCAAGAUGCUGUGCAACAUGGAGUUUAGCGGAGAGCAAACUGGACCUCAUGCACGAGUCCUUCAUAAGUGAUCCAAUCAGCAUCAGAUUCUGAGAACUGUGGGGCUCAGACUUGACCAACAGAAGGCC